UCAAUUAGUAGAGGAAGCAUUUAAUAGUUCUAGAGCAACGGAAGUUCUUGAUAUUAUUAGAAAGAUUUUGAUUAUGUCAGGAAUCAUCAUUUAAAUCAAAAUAUUCAUAUAUAUUUGGAUAUAUGCAGGAUAAUUUGUUAAGUUUGAAGCAUCAAGGAUGCACUUGUAACAGAAGAGAAAUUCUUUCAGUGCACAGUGAUCUUGCCGAUCGUUGUACCUUAGUUGGCCAAAAAGUUAAACCAGGUACCUUUUGAGUUUCGGAUUUUCUUGAUGUUGGCUUUGUUCUUGUUAUGGAUCUUGUUCAACAUAUUGAGACCGUUCUUCCAGAAUUGAAAAUCUGCAUCAGUGUUGCUCUGGUCUCUGUUACAAAAGAGCAUGCUAGCUACGGAGAAAUUACUGAAUCAAAGGUUUGUUUGUAUUCUUGAUAAUUGUGACUUGAUAUAUGUAUGGGUGUGGAUGCUAUCCCAAUAUUGAUAAUUUGAUAUGAAUCUUUGUAUAUCAAUUCAAAAAAAGAAAGUCAAUACGUGCUAAUUAUCUUGAUCCUAGUAUUUGACCUUUUGAUAAAUAGGCUGGCCAAGGAGCACUGCUGCUGAACAUUCUUCAGAAGUAGUCAGAGGGCUGUCGAGAGAGAAGUCUCAGUGAUAGAUUGUGUGUAUGACUCGUUCCAUAAUAUACACACGCUCAAGGAUGGGUGGUAUAUAUAUAAGAGAACUGCAAACAUUGGAAAUCAAGGAAUUGCGGGAGCUGGUAAAUGUCCUUAGUAAAAAAGUUCAAGAGAUGAGAAAAAGUGAAAAGAUUUAGCUUGUGUUAGGUUUUGACAUUUAUAUUUUCUAUUCUAGCUUCAUGGUCUUCUAUGUUGUGAAACCGUGGCUUGAUAGAUCAUUUUGGAAGAUUCAAAUCAUUCGUUUGGUUGUAAAAAUAGUUAGUAUUUUUUAUUUUAUGUAAAAUUUGAUUUUUUUAAAA